rnacentral:rRNA from 1 species
CCAUGGGCAGGUUGAAGGUUGGGUAACACUAACUGGAGGACCGAACCGACUAAUGUUGAAAAAUUAGCGGAUGACUUGUGGCUGGGGGUGAAAGGCCAAUCAAACCGGGAGAUAGCUGGUUCUCCCCGAAAGCUAUUUAGGUAGCGCCUCGUGAAUUCAUCUCCGGGGGUAGAGCACUGUUUCGGCAAGGGGGUCAUCCCGACUUACCAACCCGAUGCAAACUGCGAAUACCGGAGAAUGUUAUCACGGGAGACACACGGCGGGUGCUAACGUCCGUCGUGAAGAGGGAAACAACCCAGACCGCCAGCUAAGGUCCCAAAGUCAUGGUUAAGUGGGAAACGAUGUGGGAAGGCCCAGACAGCCAGGAUGUUGGCUUAGAAGCAGCCAUCAUUUAAAGAAAGCGUAAUAGCUCACUGGUCGAGUCGGCCUGCGCGGAAGAUGUAACGGGGCUAAACCAUGCACCGAAGCUGCGGCAG